rnacentral:tRNA from 1 species
AAGAUCUUAAGUUAACUAAACUAGAAGCCUUCAAAGCUCCCAAUGGUAUACACCAGAUCUUG